rnacentral:rRNA from 1 species
AACGUAGGAGACAAACGUUUAUCCGGAGUUACUGGGCGUAAAGGGCGUGUAGGUGGUUUCGUAAGUCUGGCGUGAAAUUUCUCGGCUUAACCGAGGCAGGUCGUCGGAUACUGCGGAACUUGAGGACGGUAGAGGCGUGUGGAAUUCCGGGUGUAGUGGCGAAAUGCGUAGAGAUCCGGAGGAACACCAGUGGCGAAGGCGACACGCUGGGCCGUACCUGACACUGAUGCGCGACAGCGUGGGGAGCAAACAGG